UACGUAGGGGGCAAGCGUUGUCCGGAAUUAUUGGGCGUAAAGCGCGCGCAGGCGUCGAUGAAGUCUGGGGGUUAAGCCCGGGGCUCAACCCCGGGUCAUCCUGGAAACUCAUCGACUGGAGGACAGAAGAGGAGAGUGGAAUUCCACGUGUAGCGGUGAAAUGCGUAGAGAUGUGGAGGAACACCAGUGGCGAAGGCGACUCUCUGGUCUGUGACUGACGCUGAGGCGCGAAAGCGUGGGGAGCAAACAGG
rnacentral:rRNA from 1 species